CCUACGGGAGGCAGCAGUGGGGAAUUUUGGACAAUGGGCGAAAGCCUGAUCCAGCAAUGCCGCGUGUGGGAAGAAGGCCUUCGGGUUGUAAACCACUUUUGUACGGAACGAAACGGUUCGCUUUAAUACAGUGGGCUAAUGACGGUACCGUAAGAAUAAGCACCGGCUAACUACGUGCCAGCAGCCGCGGUAAUACGUAGGGUGCGAGCGUUAAUCGGAAUUACUGGGCGUAAAGCGUGCGCAGGCGGUCAUAUAAGACAGUUGUGAAAUCCCCGGGCUCAACCUGGGAAUUGCAUCUGUGACUGUAUAGCUAGAGUACGGUAGAGGGGGAUGGAAUUCCGCGUGUAGCAGUGAAAUGCGUAGAUAUGCGGAGGAACACCGAUGGCGAAGGCAAUCCCCUGGACCUGUACUGACGCUCAUGCACGAAAGCGUGGGGAGCAAACAGGAUUAGAUACCCUGGUAGUCCACGCCCUAAACGAUGUCAACUGGUUGUUGGGUGNAUAGUACUCAGUAACGAAGACUACGCGUGAGUAGACGCCGNGGGAGGACGGCCGGCGAAGGUAGUAAGUUAAAGGUUAAAGUAGUUAGGCGUGAGAGNGCGACGGACGACGACGAGGGAGGAGG
rnacentral:rRNA from 1 species